rnacentral:RNase_P_RNA from 1 species
UGUUUUGAGUAACCGCUCAAUUUUUAUUGAGAGGAAAGUCCAUGCUCACACAAGCUGAGAUGCUUGUAGUGUUCGUGCUUGACGAAACCAUAAGUCAAGGUAGCUAUUAUGAUAGCUAACGGCAGGGAAGCAAUCUAAGUCGUAAGAUAUGAUUGUGAAACCUUUAAAGUGCCACAGAGACGAGUUUGAUUGGAAACAAUCAAAGUGGAACGCGGUAAACCCCACGAGUGAGCAACCCAAAAAUAUGGUAGGGGCACUUUCUGCAGGGAAAUGAACCAAGCAGAAAGACAAGUUUAACUUGUAGAUAGAUGGUUACUGCCGGAGUACGAGGUUGACCACCGUUUGCAGUACUAAGGUACAGAACAUGGCUUAUAAAA